CCAUGUAUUUGGAUGUAUGGCAUGCCAUCCCCGUGGGUCUCAUAGCGCCCCAUGGCAGAGAAAAGUAUCACCCUGAACCAUUGCCUGGCCUUGUUGCCCGCAGGCUGCAGGCUCUGAAGCAGGUAGCCCUGUG
ensembl:snoRNA